UGGCUCAGACGGUAAAGCAUCUGUCUACAAUGCAGGAGACCCGGGUUCGAUCCCUGG
rfam:Ovis aries breed Texel chromosome 2, whole genome shotgun sequence.